GACGAACGCUGGCGGCGUGCUUAACACAUGCAAGUCGAACGGGCCUGUCUUCUUUUUUGGGGGUGGGUUGAGUGGCGAACGGGUGAGUAUCACGUGAGUAACCUGCCCUUCGGUCCUGGAUAACCGCUUGAAAGGGCGGCUAAUACGGGGUGGUCCGGUUGGUCCGCAUGGGCUGGUCGGGAUAGAUUCACUGUUUUUGGUGUUUCGGCGGGGGAUGGGCUCGCGGCCUAUCAGCUUGUUGGUGGGGUGAUGGCCUACCAAGGCGGUGACGGGUAGCCGGCCUGAGAGGGUGGGCGGCCACACUGGGACUGAGAUACGGCCCAGACUCCUGCGGGAGGCAGCAGUGGGGGGUAUUGCACAAUGGGCGGAAGCCUGAUGCAGCGACGUCGCGUGAGGGAUGGAGGCCUUCGGGUUGUGAACCUCUGUUUCCGGUGGUGAAGGCCCUGUCCGUGUGGCGGGGUUGACGGUAGCCGGGGAUGAAGCGCCGGCUAACUACGUG
rnacentral:rRNA from 1 species